rnacentral:rRNA from 1 species
UACGGGGGUGGCAAGCGUUGUUCGGAAUUACUGGGCGUAAAGGGCGCGUAGGCGGUGUGUCAAGUCAGGCGUGAAAGCCCCGGGCUCAACCUGGGAACCGCGCUUGAGACUGGCACGCUAGAGUUCGGGAGAGGAUGGUGGAAUUCCCAGUGUAGAGGUGAAAUUCGUAGAUAUUGGGAAGAACACCGAUGGCGAAGGCAGCCAUCUGGACCGACACUGACGCUGAGGCGCGAAAGCGUGGGGAGCAAACAGG